GACCCUUCUCAGAGGAGACCUCUGGAUCUUGGUAGAGAAUCUGCUGGCCUAUAUAAACUGGCCUGGUUUCUCCUUCCCCUUCUUCCUCUAUUAGUUGUUCCUCUACUUCUGCUUGUUCUGUGCCUACUUCUUGUAAUGAUGACUUUUUGUCUGAUAACAAGGCUGUUCUCUUGCCUCACAUAUACAUAGUUCUAUCUGUAAAAAUGUUGCUACAACUGACAUGAAUUACAUUUGGCACUUAAGACUUUCCCAUACUUCAUUUGCAAAUAUGAAACAUAUUUCUGGUUUGUCUUUUCCUUUUGUUUCCAAACAACCUUUCCCUUGUUCUGUCUGUCCUAUGGCAAAACAGACUAGACUCCCCUUUCCUGAUAGUUCUAUUAAUACCUC
rnacentral:lncRNA from 1 species